rnacentral:rRNA from 1 species
AGCAGCCGCGGUAAUUCCAGCUCCAAUAGCGUAUAUUAAAGUUGUUGCAGUUAAAAAGCUCGUGGUUGAAUUUCGGGAUCAUCAGGUUGGUCGUGCCUCUGGUAUGUACUUGCUUCGAUGGACCCUCCUUCUUGAAGAACCGUAAUGGCAUUAAUUUGUUGUUGCGGGGAAACAGGACUGUUACUUUGAAAAAAUUAGAGUGUUUAAAGCAGGCAAUCGCUUGAAUACAUUAGCAUGGAAUAAUGAAAUAGGACGUUCGAUCCUAUUUUGUUGGUUUCUAGGAUUGACGUAAUGAUUAAUAGGGAUAGUUGGGGGCAUUAGUAUUCAAUUGUCAGAGGUGAAAUUCUUGGAUUUAUUGAAGACUAACUACUGCGAAAGCAUUUGCCAAGGAUGUUUUCAUUAAUCAAGAACGAAAGUUAGGGGAUCGAAGACGAUCAGAUACCGUCGUAGUCUUAACCAUAAACUAUGCCGAC